ACGCUAGCUACAGGCUUAACACAUGCAAGUCGAGGGGAAACGACAUUGAAGCUUGCUUCGAUGGGCGUCGACCGGCGCACGGGUGAGUAACGCGUAUCCAACCUGCCUCUGACUAAGGGAUACCCCGGCGAAAGUCGGACUAAUACCUUAUGAGGUUUUCUGCAGACAUCUAACGAAAACGAAAGAUUUAUCGGUCAGUGAUGGGGAUGCGUCUGAUUAGCUUGUUGGCGGGGUAACGGCCCACCAAGGCAACGAUCAGUAGGGGUUCUGAGAGGAAGGUCCCCCACAUUGGAACUGAGACACGGUCCAAACUCCUACGGGAGGCAGCAGUGAGGAAUAUUGGUCAAUGGGCGAGAGCCUGAACCAGCCAAGUAGCGUGCAGGAUGACGGCCCUAUGGGUUGUAAACUGCUUUUAUGUGGGGAUAAAGUGAGCUACGUGUAGUUUAUUGCAGGUACCACAUGAAUAAGGACCGGCUAAUUCCGUGCCAGCAGCCGCGGUAAUACGGAAGGUCCAGGCGUUAUCCGGAUUUAUUGGGUUUAAAGGGAGCGUAGGCCGUGGAUUAAGCGUGUUGUGAAAUGUAGACGCUCAACGUCUGAAUUGCAGCGCGAACUGGUUCACUUGAGUAUGCACAACGUAGGCGGAAUUCGUCGUGUAGCGGUGAAAUGCUUAGAUAUGACGAAGAACUCCGAUUGCGAAGGCAGCUUACGGGAGCACAACUGACGCUGAAGCUCGAAGGUGCGGGUAUCAAACAGGAUUAGAUACCCUGGUAGUCCGCACAGUAAACGAUGGAUGCCCGUUGUUAGUUCACUUUAGAAUUAGCGACCAAGCGAAAGCAUUAAGCAUCCCACCUGGGGAGUACGCCGGCAACGGUGAAACUCAAAGGAAUUGACGGGGGCCCGCACAAGCGGAGGAACAUGUG
rnacentral:rRNA from 1 species